CACGUAGGGCGCAAGCGUUGUCCGGAAUAAUUGGGCGUAAAGCGUCUGUAGGUGGUUGACCAAGUCUGUUGUUAAAAAUCAGGGCUCAACCCUGAUCCGGCAACAGAAACUAGUAAACUUGAGUACGGUAGGGGCAGAGGGAAUUCUCGGUGUAGUGGUGAAAUACGUAGAUAUCGAGAAGAACACCAAUAGCGAAAGCACUCUGCUGGGCCGAAACUGACAUUGAGAGACGAAAGCUAGGGGAGCAAAAGGG
rnacentral:rRNA from 1 species